rnacentral:rRNA from 1 species
AACGAACGCUGGCGGCGUGCUUAACACAUGCAAGUCGAACGGAAAGGCCCUGCUUGCAGUGUACUCGAGUGGCGAACGGGUGAGUAACACGUGGGUGCGCUGCCCGGCACUGCGGGAUACGCCUCGGAAACUGGGUCUAAUACCGGAAAGGAGCGAGUUUGAGAGUGAUGGUCGGAAAGUUUUUUCGGUGUAGGAUGAGCUCGCGGCCUAUCAGCUUGUUGGUGGGGUAAUGGCCUACCAAGGCGGCGACCGGUAGCCGGCCUGAGAGGGUGGACGGCCACAUUGAGACUGAGAGAAGGCCCAGACUCGGACGGGAGGCAGAUGGGGGGAAUAUUGAACCAUGGGCGCAAGCCGCAUGAAGAGAGGCCGCGGGGGGGAUGACGGCCUUGGGCUUGAAAAAACCCUUUGCUCGGGACGAAGCGGUUUAUGACGGUACCUGGAGAAGAAGCACCGGCUAACUACGUG